GGCAGAGGGGUUGGAACUGGGUGAUCCUUAAGGUUCUUUCCAACCCAAAUCCAAAUUCUAUGAUUCUAUGAAACUGAGUCCUAUUUAUGCAAGAAAAGUGUGGCUGCAGAUUUUAGCUGGGGGAUGCAUUUUCUGAAUAAAGGCCCUCAAAACAUCAUGUCAUAGGGUCUAAAUAUAUCUCAAAUAUAGCUUCCACUGAGAAGUUACUGCAGACCAUGUGUGAAGCAUGUGCAUGUUUAACACCAGCGGUGUUGUCUAGGAGAGGCUUCAUGUGUAACACAGAAAGGUGAGAAGGAUGAGUUGAAAACAGCAAAACCUGUAAUCAAUAUUAGACCUUCAUCUGAACCCCUUUUAAGCCCUUCUGGUAUAGUAUCCCUUCUUCAUCUUUCUUAACUUCCCUUCCAAAAGAUAUCUAUCAAUACUGCUUCUCCAGAUUUAAUGAUCUCACAGUGCUCUUAAUGAGUCUGGCAUCCCAGUAGCAUCAGACUCUUCGUUUUCCUCAAAUUUGUAUAGUGAGAAUCCAGCUACACAAGUAGUGUGAUUUUCUCAACGUUCAGUAUAUUUUGCAUAGCCAUGGCACCUGUCAUGGAUUGGGUUCAGGAUGUUUUUAUUUUUUCAGGCACAUUUAUUAGAAGAAACUAUGGACUUUGGUUCCAGCUGGGGGGCUGGUUUACUGUGAACAUGGGGCCCAUUAUCCAAUGUGUGGAUCAACUGGACAUUGACUUGGUACCUGACCCCAGGCAGUAUGGCUCUUCCCUGACCUCUGACUCUGGCCCAUCCUUCCACUCCCCCUCCACUCUUUCUGUCCAGUUUACAAGACAGCUUUACAGCAGAAAACCAUGAGCAAAACCUGACAGCUGCAGCCUUCCUCUGUACAGGAAAAUUCCAAUUCAUUCCAAGUACUGGUCAGUUUAUUUAACUUGUUAAAGGCAUAUUAAAGUAUGGAUUUUCUUCAACAUGUUGUCCCACUGCAUAUCAUAUGAAACCACAGAAAUAAGCUCACUUGCCUGAACAUAUGAUAGCAGCAAAGGUUUGUGCUCUCAGAGAUUUUAAUUCCAGAUAUAUGCAUUGCAUUGAAGACAAACAUGAUUCUCUGAAAAUCUAGAAAAAUAGAUCAGAAUCUGGCUGGUUUUGGAAAUCCCAAGCAAAUAAAUUGUACUCGGUCAAUAUUAAAAUAAUCA
rnacentral:lncRNA from 1 species